UACGUAGGGUGCAAGCGUUGUCCGGAAUUAUUGGGCGUAAAGAGCUCGUAGGCGGUCUGUCGCGUCUGCUGUGAAAACUCAGGGCUUAACCCUGAGCUUGCAGUGGGUACGGGCAGACUAGAGUGCGGUAGGGGAGACUGGAAUUCCUGGUGUAGCGGUGAAAUGCGCAGAUAUCAGGAGGAACACCGGUGGCGAAGGCGGGUCUCUGGGCCGUAACUGACGCUGAGGAG
rnacentral:rRNA from 1 species